AUGGCCUGGACCCCGCUCCUCCUGGGCCUUUUGGCUCACUGCACAGGUUCUGUAUCUUCCUAUGAGCUGAAUCAGCCGCCCUCAGUUUCUGUGAGCCCGGGAGGGGAGGCCAAGAUGACCUGUAGGGGAAACAACAUUGGAGGCAAAAGUGUUAACUGGUACCAGCAGAAGCCAGACCAGGCUCCUGUGCUGGUCAUCUACUAUGAUAAAAAUCGGCCCUCAGGGAUCCCUGACCGCUUCUCUGGCGCCAACUCUGGGGGCUCGGCCACCCUGACCAUCACAGGUGUGCGCACUGAAGACGAGGCCGACUAUUACUGUCAGGUGUGGGGCAGUGGUAAUGCUCACAGUGGCACAAACAGAUGGGGAAGCCUGGAGCCCUGUAAACCCAGCCAUGAGCUGCUCUGGUCCCAACCCAGUUUGGAGAUUCAAGGGUUCCAGCCCUGCAGUUGGUUCCUCACAGGACUGGCCAGGGAUGAAUGUGGGGCAGACACAACAUAG